rnacentral:rRNA from 1 species
AGUGAACGCUGGCGGUAGGCCUAACACAUGCCAGUCGAACGGCAGCACAGUAAGAGCUUGCUCUUACGGGUGGCGAGUGGCGGACGGGUGAGGAAUACAUCGGAAUCUACUUUUUCGUGGGGGAUAACGUAGGGAAACUUACGCUAAUACCGCAUACGACCUACGGGUGAAAGCAGGGGAUCUUCGGACCUUGCGCGAUUGAAUGAGCCGAUGUCGGAUUAUCUAGUUGGCGGGGUAAAGGCCCACCAAGGCGACGAUCCGUAGCUGGUCUGAGAGGAUGAUCAGCCACACUGGAACUGAGACACGGUCCAGACUCCUACGGGAGGCAGCAGUGGGGAAUAUUGGACAAUGGGCGCAAGCCUGAUCCAGCCAUACCGCGUGGGUGAAGAAGGCCUUCGGGUUGUAAAGCCCUUUUGUUGGGAAAGAAAAGCAGCAGGUUAAUACCCCGCUGUUCUGACGGUACCCAAAGAAUAAGCACCGGCUAACUUCGUG